GCUAGCGUAGCUCAAGGGCAGAGCAUUGGUUUUGUAAACCAAAGGUUGUGGGUUCAAUUCCCACCGCUAGCU
rnacentral:tRNA from 1 species